UUAGAAUGAACGCUGGCGGCAUGGAUUAGGCAUGCAAGUCGAACGUACUCCCUUCGGGAGAAGUGGCGAAAGGGUGAGUAACACGUGAGCAACCUGCCUCCGGAUCCGGAAUAAUCCAGGGAAACUUGGUACUAAAACCGAAUGAAGACAUUGGUCCGCAUGGUCUAAUGUUAAAAUAUUUAUAGUCCGGAGAGGGGCUCGCGGCCCAUUAGCUUGUUGGCGGGUAAUGGCCACCGAGGCUACGACGGGUAGGUGGUCUGAGAGGAUGGUCACCCACACUGGGACUGAGACACUGCCCAGACUCCUACGGGAGGCUGCAGUCGAGAAUCUUCCGCAAUGGGCGCAAGCCCUGACGGAGCGAUGCCGCGUGAGGGAUGAAGGCCUUCGGGUUGUAAACCUCUGUCAUCCGGGACGAAAACAAUGACGGUACCGGAAAAGGAAGCCACGGCUAACCACGUGCCAGCAGCUGC
rnacentral:rRNA from 1 species